CCAAUUCCUGAAGCAUUCCAUGUUUUUCUGUUGGCUGGUUCAAUCCAGUGGUGAGCUGAUUCUAAACCCCAGCCCAGGAGACAGGGUUGUUCUUCAUGUGGAUGACGCUGUGCCGAAGCAUGGGACCAGAA
ensembl:snoRNA